GACGAACGCUGGCGGCGUGCUUAACACAUGCAAGUCGAACGGAAAGGCCCUGCUUUUGUGGGGUGCUCGAGUGGCGAACGGGUGAGUAACACGUGAGUAACCUGCCCUUGACUUUGGGAUAACUUCAGGAAACUGGGGCUAAUACCGGAUAGGAGCUCCUGCUGCAUGGUGGGGGUUGGAAAGUUUCGGCGGUUGGGGCUGGACUCGCGGCUUAUCAGCUUGUUGGGGGGGUAGUGGCUUACCAAGGCUUUGACGGGUAGCCGGCCUGAGAGGGUGACCGGCCACAUUGGGACUGGGGUACGGCCCAGACUCCUACGGGAGGCAGCAGUGGGGAAUAUUGCACAAUGGGCGGAAGCCUGAUGCAGCAACGCCGCGUGCGGGAUGACGGCCUUCGGGUUGUAAACCGCUUUCGCCUGUGACGAAACGUGAGUGACGGUAAUGGGUAAAGAAGCACCGGCUAACUACGUG
rnacentral:rRNA from 1 species